AACAGGGGAGCUUGUAGACAGGCUGAGAGGAAAGCAAUUGAGCUUUCGACCCGAUAACCUGAUUUGGAUAAUGCCAACGUAGGGAGACAG
rnacentral:ncRNA from 1 species